rnacentral:rRNA from 1 species
GAUGAACGCUGGCGGCAUGCCUAAUACAUGCAAGUCGGACGGGAAGGGGUGUGUUUCGUGGUGUGCGGGAGUGGCACGCGGGAGAAUCACGCGUUGGGAGGGGGACUAUAACUGGGAGAGGCUUCUAAUAAACGGUAGGUAAUAGCGCAAAAGAACGAAUCCGCCAUGGGAGGGGCUCGAAUGUGAUUAGUUAGUUGGUGAGGCAAUAGCCUACGAAGUAGAUGAUAAGUGGCAGGUCCGAGAGGCUGGGCAGCAACGCUGGAACUGAGACACGGGCCAGACUCCUGCGGGAAGCAGCAGGGGGGAAAGCGCCAAAAUGCGCGGGAGCGUGAAGGAACAACGCCGCGUGGAGGUAGAAGGCCUGCGAGUAGUGAGCUUCUUUUCGCGAAGAAGAAUCAAUGACGGUAUCUGAGGAAUAAGCAUCGGCUAACUACGUG